CAAAUUAUCUGUAUGCAUUUACUGACAUCUCCUUUUCAUUUCACUGUUUCAUUGUCCAUAUCAUUCUAACUUGUUUGCAGAUUCACGGAUGCUAUGUACGUUGUGAGGCAACUUAAUAAAAUAGUGAAUAACUAUUGGAGGGGGCCGUGGAAUAGUUACAGCGGCGCGCAAAAACAAGUAAAGGAUUUGUGGUGGAAUGAGUUCAAGCGGAAGUUCAGCUGGGAUGAAAUGGAAGAGAAUGAAGUUAGAAGAAUUUUUAAGAAGAAAGCCGGUGAUCACAUACGAAAUGUGAUGAAUAAAGCAAAGAGAAGUCAAGGGAAGCCAGAUUUCAUUACCGGCAAAUGAAUUGGGGACGGAACCGACAUAUACAGCUACAUUUGAACGCACAUUUCAAAAGAAAGAUAAGACAUGGACUGGCGAUCGGGUAAAAGCUAUUAAGGAAAAAUAUGAUGAGCUUUUAAUGAGUACGGCUAGUGGUGGUGAUGGUGGGGCUGAGUUUGAGCUAGCAGUUGACCAUAUGGCAUUAUAGGUGGAGGCAUUGGGUGGGAUGAAAAGGGGGAAAAUAUUUGGGAUGGGAUCCUUAUCAAGGGUAUACACAACAAAGGUUGCAGCAAGUUCAUCCUCCAGUGUAGCUAUUUCAAGGAGGACACGACUUGAUGAACAAGUGACCCAAGAAUUGACCCAAUUGAGACAUUUACUUAUAGAGAAGGA